ACGUCACGCACGCACGCACGCAGCGCCCAGGAGGCUACGGGCGGGGCCGGCGGGGACCUGAGGCCGAGGGACAGCGGCCCGAGCCGGGGCUAUGGCGAAGCUGCUGAGCUGCGUCCUAGGCCCCCGGCUCUACAAGAUCUACCGGGAGAGGGACACGGACCGGGCCGCGACCAGCGUCCCCGAGACUCCCACUGCCGUCCCCGCCGCCUCGUCCAGCUCCUGGGAUUCGUAUUAUCAGCCUCGGGCCUUGGAGAAACAUGCCGACAGCAUCCUGGCACUGGCCUCAGUCUUCUGGUCCAUCUCUUAUUACUCCUCUCCCUUCGCCUUCUUCUACCUGUACAGGAAAGGUUACUUGAGUUUGUCCAAAGUGGUGCCGUUUUCUCACUAUGCCGGGACCUUGCUGGUACUCCUGGCAGGGGUGGCCUGCCUCCGAGGCAUCGGCCGCUGGACCAACCCCCAGUACCGACAGUUCAUCACCAUCUUGGAAGCCACACAUAGGAACCAGUCUGCGGAAAACAAGAGACAGCUGGCCAACUAUAACUUUGACUUCAGGAGCUGGCCCGUCGACUUCCACUGGGAGGAGCCCAGCAGCCGGAAGGGGUCCCGAGGUGGCCCUUCCCGCAGGGGUGUGGCCCUGCUUCGCCCAGAGCCUCUGCACCGGGGAACAGCAGACACAUUUCUUAACAGAGUCAAGAAGCUGCCCUGUCAAAUCACCAGCUAUCUGGUGGCACACACCUUGGGGCGCCGGAUGCUGUACCCAGGCUCCGUGUACCUGCUCCAGAAGGCCCUCAUGCCUGUGCUGCUACAGGGCCAGGCCCGACUGGUGGAAGAGUGUAAUGGGCGCCGUGCAAAACUGCUCGCCUGUGACGGCAAUGAGAUUGACACCAUGUUUGUGGACCGGCGGGGGACUGCUGAGCCCCAGGGGCAGAAGCUGCUCCACCCAAGGACCUCAUGGGAAGCCUGAGCGGGAAGUAGGUGGUGGGGACGGAGCUCAGUUGGCAGAGGACUUGCUUUAGCGUGUGUGAAGCCCUGGGUUUCACCCCCAGCCCUGUGUACACGGAGAACUGGAUUAUGGGUCUGUAAUCCCAGCACCCAGGUAUAGAGAGAAGAGGAUCAGAAGUUCAAGGCCAGGGCUGGGUAGAUGGGUACGGUAUUCCCCAUGCGAGCGAGAGGACCUGAGUUCUGAUCUUCAGAAGCUGUGUAAAGCCGGUCAUGGUGAUUACGUUGUAGUCCCAGCUCUCUGUGGGAGGGGCAGGGGAACCCUUGGGCCCUCUCUGCCAGCUUAGCAGAUGCAGCACAGCACACACAACAGAGACCCUGCCUUGAAGUUGGAGGCAGGGGGUGACUGGCGUUUCCUUCUCCCCUCCACUCACGUGCUGUGGAUCAGGCAUACGUGCAUACACAACCACAUGGUGCCUACUGGAGUGUGCGCACACAGCGCAUUCAUGCACACACAGAGUUUAAAGUCUUGGCUAUGUGGUGAGUUUGCAGUCAGCCCAUGUCUCAAAACAAAAAGUUUAAAGAUGAGAACAUCAUAGCAGACUGGAGAAGUCACCGUGGUGUGUGCACCCCAACAGGAGUUCAUUACCAGCACCAAAGUGGGGGGAAGGGAGUGGUCAUUUGAGUAGGGCUGUAGAGAGCUGCCUAGUGUUUGGGACUCACACACAAAGCCAGGCAUGGUGCACACCCUGACCCUAGGGCUGGGGAGGCAGAGGCAGAAGGCUCUGAUACACUGAGUUCAAGGCCUGACGGGGAUAAACAGGGCCCUGUCCUACCAUAACAAAGAGUAGAUGCAGGAGGUCGAAGCAGGAGUCUAGGUUCCAGGCCACCCAACCUACCUAGUGAGACACUGCCUCAAGAAAACAAAUAACAUUUGACACGUGCAAGACCAGCCUGUGGGUCUGUGCACUCUGCAGAGUGACCUCGCUGCUCACAGCUGAGUGACAGCGCUGCGGCUGAGCGAGUAGCCCUUACGGCGGCCCUGGCCUGGAAGCACUGCACAGGCAGCUGGGGAUGGGUUCUGGUGCUGGCUCUGCCGUCUGCCACCAUCCCCAGCUUCAGCUUGACCACCAUAGAGAGCGGGGUGAUCUGCUGUGAGGGGAAUGCGGGAUUCUACGAAGUGGGCUGUGUCUCCACACCCCUAGAAGCUGGAUAUUCUGUCCUGGGCUGGAAUCAUCCAGGCUUUGCUGGGAGCACGGUGAGA